rnacentral:lncRNA from 13 species
AUGUUUUAUUGGAGUGCGAAGGGGGCUGGGACAGAAAGGGGUAUUGGUUUGGCCUAUUCUGAAAUGAAGGGAACCAUUUUUGAUACGGUCAUGUCAAGGGCACAAUGUGACACCGACUGCAACCUACAGCUCCCCAGCAGAACGACUGCCCUCCUUUGUCCCGGAGCGUUUCCUCUUGACGUGGUAUUUACUUUACUAAGGCACAUAAAAGAGGUGAACGUUGUUCCCUGGCCGUCAGUGACUGGAAGGAGACCACUUCAAAUACAAUGCUCCUCUGGGACUUCAUCCCUUCCCGAACCAGCCGGGCAUCAGCGAAUGAAAACAGAUGAAAAUGUCUGGGAAGGGAAAGACCCAACGAGAGCCCAAGAAACGGCGCCUACACACCUGUGAACAGCUGCAGGCUGCUAACGAGGAGGUGAAUGCAGGGAGGAGCCUGAGGGAGGUGGCUCGUGCCUCCUGUCAGCACUUGUUUACAGGGAAACCAAAUGGUCCAAAAACAUUCCACAUAGUUCCUAACUAUUGCAGUUUGGUUACAAGCUGUCUUUUAGGGAGUCCUGUUCAUUUUCUUCACUUGGGCACAAUCAAGAGCAGUAAGAGAGGCACGCAGGAAUGUUGCGUCUCAGUUUGCGUUAGAGCAUGUAUUUUGCAAACAAGUUGAAUAGAUAUCCUACAUUUCUUAUGUGUGCUAUACGUUAUUGGCAUAUGUUAUUGUAACACACCGAUGUAUUAUUCACAGAGCUCUCGUGAAUCGGUUGGCACGGCAAAACAAAAGCUCUGUCAGCAGGUGACGGGUUUGCUUGUUUAAAUGCAGAUCAGAGGUUGGCGCAGUGGUUUUCUUUUUAAGAUUCUGCACAUCAAAGUCUUAUGCAAUUCAUUAUUGAUUGAUUCAGUGUUUGUUAUUGAUGACCACAUUAUUAUUAGCACCCAACUCAUGAAAAAUGUGUUUAAUAUUAGCCAUAAUAAUAUUAAUACUAAUG